CACAAAUACAAUAUGAAGGCUUCGGCUGGAUUAUUUAUUUCACCCCUUGUCUUUUGCGCACUUGUUGUUUCCUGGGCGGGUUCGCCCGCCACCAGGACCACACCAUAAACCUUUUUUGUUAAUGCAGUCAGCGUCAGUACAACAAAUGUAAAUCAUUUA
rnacentral:misc_RNA from 1 species